rnacentral:rRNA from 1 species
ACGAACGCUGGCGGCAGGCCUAACACAUGCAAGUCGAACGCUCCAGCAAUGGAGAGUGGCAGACGGGUGAGUAACGCGUGGGAACCUUCCCUUUGGUUCGGAAUAGCCCAGGGAAACUUGGGGUAAUACCGGAUAAGCCCUUACGGGGAAAGAUUUAUCGCCGAAGGAUGGGCCCGCGUCGGAUUAGCUAGUUGGUGGGGUAACGGCCCACCAAGGCGACGAUCCGUAGCUGGUCUGAGAGGAUGAUCAGCCACACUGGGACUGAGACACGGCCCAGACUCCUACGGGAGGCAGCAGUGGGGAAUAUUGGACAAUGGGCGCAAGCCUGAUCCAGCCAUGCCGCGUGAGUGACGAAGGCCUUAGGGUUGUAAAGCUCUUUUGGCGGGGAAGAUAAUGACGGUACCCGCAGAAUAAGCUCCGGCUAACUUCGU